AAACCAUGACGUAGGCACUCUCACAAGAGUUCCUUGAAACUCUCCUAAGCUUUAAACAAUGUUUUUGAAUCCCUUUGAUAAAAUACAAAAAUCUCUUGCCUUAAUUU